GUGCUCGCUUCGGCAGCACCUGUGCUAACGUCGGAACAGUACAGAGGAGAUUAGCGUGGCCCCGAGCAAGGGUGACGUACAAAUUCGUGACGCGUUCCAUGUUUUA